rnacentral:rRNA from 1 species
CACGUAGGUGGCAAGCGUUGUCCGGAUUUAUUGGGUUUAAAGGGUGCGUAGGUGGUCAAUUAAGUCAGUGCUGAAAUAUCCCGGCUUAACCGGGAGGGUGGCAUUGAUACUGAAUGACUUGAGUGGAGUUGAGGUAGGCGGAAUUGACGGUGUAGCGGUGAAAUGCGUAGAGAUCGGGAAGAACACCAGUGGCGAAGGCGACGUGCUGGGUUGCACCUGACGCUGAGAUGCGAAAGUGUGGGGAGCAAACGGG